rnacentral:sRNA from 1 species
UGACGACGUUGCUAGCACGAACCCUAGC